AGCGAACGCUGGCGGCGUGCCUAACACAUGCAAGUCGAACGUGAAAGGGAGCAAUCCCAAGUAAAGUGGCGUACGGGUGAGUAACACGUAGGUAAUCUACCCCAGAAUCUGGAAUAACCGGCCGAAAGGCUGGCUAAUACUGGAUAGAGCGACGGAAUCCGUAAUUGGGUUUUUCGGGAAAGGGAGCCUGUAAAAAGGCCUUCGUUCUGGGAUGAGCCUGCGUCCCAUCAGCUAGUUGGUGAGGUAAAAGCUUACCAAGGCAAUGACGGGUAGCUGGUCUGAGAGGACGAUCAGCCACACUGGAACUGAAACACGGUCCAGACGCCUACGGGAGGCAGCAGUGGGGAAUCUUGCGCAAUGGACGAAAGUCUGACGCAGCAACGCCGCGUGAGGGAAGAAGGCCUUCGGGUUGUAAAGCUCUGUCGAGUGGGACGAAAAUGCUUGGAGUUCACAGCUCCAGGAACUGACGGUACCACUAAAGGAAGCACCGGCUAACUCCGUG
rnacentral:rRNA from 1 species